rnacentral:rRNA from 1 species
UACGUAGGGUGCAAGCGUUGCUCGGAAUCAUUGGGCGUAAAGAGCGUGUAGGUGGCUAGAUAAGUCGGAUGUGAAAUCCCUCGGCUCAACCGAGGAAGUGCAUUCGAAAACUAUCUAGCUCGAGGAUGGCAGAGGAAGGUGGAAUUCCUAGUGUAGAGGUGAAAUUCGUAGAUAUUAGGAGGAAUACCGGUGGCGAAGGCGGCCUUCUGGACCUUCCUGACACUGAGAACGCGAAAGCGUGGGUAGCAACAGG